rnacentral:misc_RNA from 1 species
CAUGCACACAAACUUUCCAUUUCUACCUCUAGUAUUACUUUGCAUAAGCCCAUCCUAAACUCCAAACUACAAAGCGUAGAAGCAAGUUAAAAAAAAAAAAAAAAAAACUAAUCUAAAAUUUUUUAAAUUUGGCAGAUUUACCAAAGUAUCCUAAAUCUAAGCCACAGUUGUGGCAACAGAAGAAACAGCCAAUUGAGUUUGAGUGUUACUUUCAGUUUCAACACCGUUACUUUCUUGCCUCUCCUUCAAUUUACUCUCCUUCAAAGCAGACCUCCACUCAGUAAAAUUACCAAAAAGGACCUCCAUAUUCUCCAAUGUCCUCCCCUUCGUCUCUGGCAAAUAUAUAAAAAUGAAUAUCCAAGCCAUCAUUGCAAUUGCCAUGUAUAAGAAGAAGGCCCCACCUAUGGUUAUACCUUUGUACAAUGAAAUAAAAGUCGUAGAUACGACCCCACUCGUUACUCUGUUCACUGCCACUCCCAAGCUCGCUCCUUGCGCACGUAGCCUCAGCGGGAAUAUCUCAGAGUUGUAUACCCAUGUUACAGGGCCUAUCCCUAUUGAGAAGAACGCCACGUACGUUAAUACCGUCGUUAUGCACAGCACAACAGCCCACGUUAUUUUCUCGUGCGAAUGAUCAAUGAUUGUCAAUGAAAAUCCAAGCGCUGCUAAUGAAAAUAUCACCCCUACUAAACUACUUAAAAGCAAAGAUCGCCGUCCGACUCUGUCGAGCAAAAAUGUCACCACUAAAAUGAAGCUUGUUUUCACGAAUCCAACGGCUAUGGUCGCCAGUAACUUGCCAUUGUCUGAUGUGAUCCCAGCCUUCUCAAAAAUCCUUGGGCUGUAUAAAACGACAGCGUCUACUCCUGAUGCUUGCUGAAAGAAAUGGAUGCCGAUUCCGCAAACUAAGAUAUGACGAACCGACCGUGUAGGAUGAAGGAGUAAUUCUCGCCAU